rnacentral:rRNA from 1 species
UACGUAGGGCGCAAGCGUUAUCCGGAAUUAUUGGGCGUAAAGAGCUCGUAGGCGGUUUGUCGCGUCUGCCGUGAAAGUCCGGGGCUCAACUCCGGAUCUGCGGGUGGGUACGGGCAGACUAGAGUGAUGUAGGGGGAGACUGGAAUUCCUGGUGUAGCGGUGAAAUGCGCAGAUAUCAGGAGGAACACCGAUGGCGAAGGCAGGUCUCUGGGCAUUAACUGACGCUGAGGAGCGAAAAGCAUGGGGAGCGAACAGG